rnacentral:rRNA from 1 species
CCUACGGGGGGCAGCAGUGAGGAAUAUUGGUCAAUGGGCGCAAGCCUGAACCAGCCAAGUCGCGUGAGGGAUGACGGUCCUAUGGAUUGUAAACCUCUUUUGUCGGGGAGCAAGGCCCGCCACGUGUGGCGGGAAGGAGAGUACCCGAAGAAAAAGCAUCGGCUAACUCCGUGCCAGCAGCCGCGGUAAUACGGAGGAUGCGAGCGUUAUCCGGAUUUAUUGGGUUUAAAGGGUGCGUAGGCGGAAUAUCAAGUCAGCGGUAAAAAUUCGGGGCUCAACCCCGUCGUGCCGUUGAAAAUGAAGUU